GUACACGUGCCAUCAUCUGGAGCAUCCUUGACUUGGGCGCUACUUCUGACUCUCCUUUGGCUAAGUUACUUAUGCAUGAUACUACUCAGUGCAUAGUUGUCUUGGAGCGCGAUCUCUACUGGAUUGGCGAGUUAGGGUGCCUUCGUACACACCUUCCCUGUGGUCUCGCCGGCCGCCUUCAUGAUCUGCACCACCUGUUUCACCGUGUAUGCUCAAGCAAGCUGUCCCCCGACCUCAUCCUCUGG
rnacentral:lncRNA from 1 species